rnacentral:rRNA from 1 species
GACGUAGGGGACGAGCGUUGUCCGGAUUCAUUGGGCGUAAAGCGCGCGUAGGCGGUUACGCAAGUCGGUUGUGAAAAUCCGGGGACUCCAACCCCGGACCUGCAUCCGGAUACUGCGUGACUAGAGGUAGGUAGGGGAGAUCGGGAAUUCCUGGUGUAGCGGGUGAAAUGACGCAGAUAUCAGGAGGAACACCGGUGGCGAAGGCGGCCAUCCUGGACCGAUAUUGACGCUGAUGCGCGAAAGCCAGGGGAGGCAAACGGG